GGAGCGUCGAGUUGCUGAAAAUCAAACAAGUUUGAUUUCUUGCAACUCGCGCGUUCAAGCAACCAGAAUCGCUAUGGGUUGCAGUUGCACGUUCCCGCAGACAGCGAUUUCAUUUCACAGCAAUUUCGACUGCGAUUCUAGAAUCGCAGCCGAGUUGCAUGAAAAAGUCGCAAGUCUGCGCUAGGCUAUAGCCUGAGUGUAUGAUGUUCGAUGGCUGGUCGGGUAGAUGUUGGUAGAUGGUUGGGCUUCACCGUUGAUUCUCUCUUCAGCAUCCCGCCACGUGGCAACGAUGUCCUAGGCGGCCGGAUAAGUUGCGGGGAAAGUGCAAUAUUUCUCUUAUCGUUCACUCUCGAAAUAACUUCAUAGUUUGGGGGGACUGGCCAAGUUUCUCUAUCGUUCACUCCCGAAAUAACUUCAUAGUUUGGGGGGACUGGCCAGGUUUCUCUGUCGUUCACUCCCGAAAUAACUUCAUAGUUUGGGGGGACUGGCCAGGUUUCUCUGUCGUUCACUCGCGAAAUAACUUCAUAGUUUGGGGGGACUGGCCAGGUUUCUCUGUCGUUCACUCGCGAAAUAACUUCAUAGUUUGGGGGGACUGGCCAGGUUUCUCUGUCGUUCACUCCAGAAAUAACUUCAUAGUUUGGGGGGACUGGCCGGGUUUCUCUGUCGUUCACUAGCCGGAUUGCAUCAUGCGUGGCUGAUGUUGUGGCUGAUGUUCCUGUCACUCGUCCUCUGUUGUGUAAUUUACCAGUUUGAUAAGCAGUGGGCGGACGUGGCGCUCUGACGUGGCACGUACGCACGCAGCCGUGCGACAUGUCUGGCUUCAUUGAUUGCCACGUGACAUUGGCAGGUACUUACAUGUCGCCUCUCGAAAAUAACUCGCCGCACUCGCAGGCGCACAUGCGAAUACGCACGUACGUGCAAGCCCGUACGUACGCACGCACGCAUGCUCGCUCGUCGCCGUGCUUAUGAUGGCUGGUAUUUUGAUUGGCACGUUGUGCGGAGGAAGGGGAGCGCUGCCGUUAUAUGGUUAGCCGUGUAUAAAUGAAUUUUUGAUUUCAGCAGCGUGACUUGUAGAGCUUGCGCGUGUAUUAUAUUGACUUGGAGACGACAAUGUUUUGACGUAAUAAAGGACGAUAUUUGUCAAGUUCA